rnacentral:rRNA from 1 species
GAUGAACGCUGGCGGCGUGCCUAAUACAUGCAAGUCGAGCGAACGGACGAGAAGCUUGCUUCUCUGAUGUUAGCGGCGGACGGGUGGGUAACACGUGGAUAACCUACCUAUAAGACUGGGAUAACUUCGGGAAACCGGAGCUGAUACCGGAUGAUAUUUUGAACCGCAUGGUUCAAAAGUGAAAGACGGUCUUGCUGUCACUUAUAGAUGGAUCCGCGCUGCAUUAGCUAGUUGGUAAGGUAACGGCUUACCAAGGCAACGAUGCAUAGCCGACCUGAGAGGGUGAUCGGCCACACUGGAACUGAGACACGGUCCAGACUCCUACGGGAGGCAGCAGUAGGGAAUCUUCCGCAAUGGGCGAAAGCCUGACGGAGCAACGCCGCGUGAGUGAUGAAGGUCUUCGGAUCGUAAAACUCUGUUAUUAGGGAAGAACAUAUGUGUAAGUAACUGUGCACAUCUUGACGGUACCUAAUCAGAAAGCCACGGCUAACUACGUG